AGAGAGAGACAUGCGCGCAUAUCAAUAAGCGGAGGAAAAGAAACUAACAAGGAUUCCCUUAGUAACGGCGAGUGAAGCGGGAAGAGCUCAAAUUUGAAAUCUUCAAGGUUUUACCUUGACGAAUUGUAGUUUAAAGAAGUGUUUUCUGCUGAAGUUUUGGUAAAAGUUCUUUGGAAUAGGACAUCAUAGAGGGUGAGAAUCCCGUAUUUGACCAUUAUUUUCAGCUUUGUGAUACACUUUCAAAGAGUCGGAUUGUUUGGGAAUGCAGUCCAAAAUGGGUGGUAAAUUUCAUCUAAAGCUAAAUAUUGGCGAGAGACCGAUAGCGAACAAGUACCGUGAGGGAAAGAUGAAAAGAACUUUGAAAAGAGAGUUAAACAGUACGUGAAAUUGUCAAAAGGGAAGCGUUUGACACCAGUGUUGUUUUCUCGAAAAUCAAUUAAAAAUGGCUCGAUUUUGUAUUGCUUGAGACCUUAAAAGCUCACUGUACAUUUUUCGUGUCUUUUUUAAUGCACUUUUCGUUUAACAAGUCAACAUCAGUUUCUUUUGUUGUAAAAGGGUCAUUGGAAGGAUGGCUUUCUUUUCGGAGAAAGUGUUUAUAGCCUUUGGCCUCUGCAAUCGGAGAGACUGAGGUCUGCAGCGUAGACUCUUCGGGGUUAGAUACAUUUGUGCUAAGUUAUAGCUUUUUAUAGACAACUUGUUGACUAUAAUUAGUCUUGUAGCUUACUCGCUUAUGCUAUUUUACCUACGCUUAGGAUGUUGAAGAUGUAGCACAUCAU
rnacentral:rRNA from 1 species